AUGGAAUUGGCGGCGGCAGUGGCGGCAGUGGCGGCAGUGGCGGAAAUGGCGGUGGUAGCGGAGGUGGUUACGGUAACGGUGGCGGCAGCGGCGGAAAUGGUAACGGUGGUGGCAACGGCAACAUGCAAAUGAUGAUGCAGAAAAUGAUGCAGAUGAUGAUGAUGAUGGCAAACGCUGACUAGAAUAGUAAACAAGGGGGGCGCAAUAUGAUGUGUCUCGGGACAACACUGGGUGUCGACGAGUUUUAACAACGCAGCGGCACUAGUCUCAGAUACAACAUACGGGCAUUUACAUACAGAUAUCACGUGAUAUUUAAUUACACUGGUCUAGAAACUGAAACAAGUACCUGUGUAAGUAAAGACAAACAAUACAAUGCCAAAUAAGAUAAUGGAAUAUCAUUCAAGAGAAGAACAUUAUAUCGAAGGAAAUUGUUUUGUAGUAUGUCUAAAAAACGAAAGAUAUAGAAAACAAAAAUUUUAAAAUCCCUCAGCACUGUUGUCUCUUUAGAUGCAAACCCAUAUUGAAAAUUUCCUAUUUGUUAUGGUAAGUGCCGUUAGUUUACCUUAAUAAAGUUUGCUUUAAUAAACGAUUUGCCAAAAACAAA